rnacentral:lncRNA from 1 species
GAUCCUUAACCCGAUGUGACACCAGGGAACUCCACUAUUGGAUUCAAGAUUUCCUAGAUAGAGCAAUUCUGGGUGAUAACAAGGUCCAGGGGUGGCCAAGGGAAGGUGGCUUAAGUGGCUUUGAGUGGAGACUCUUUUGAGAUCAAAGAACCGGGCUGCACCCUGGGCAUAUGGAGGUUCCCAGUCUAGGGGUCGAAUUGGAGCUGUAGCUGCUGAUCUACGCCACAGCCACAGCAACUUGGGACCUGAGCUGCAUCUGUGAUCUACACCGCAGCUCAGGUCAAUACCUGAUCCUUAACCCCCUGAGAGAGGCCAGGAAUCGAACCUGUGUCCUCAUGGAUACUAGUCAGGUUCGUUACCGCUGAGCCACAACAGGAACUCCCAAAGAACCAAGAUAUUGAAGCUCCCCAGGAUAAGGGCAGGUCCAGGAGUGGAAAGGAAGAUUGAGCGAGGUGCCAAAGGCUCCUUGAAUGAAGAGGAAUGACUGGAGAUUGGCAUUUGAUCUUGACAGAGGAGUAGAAAGGCUAGUUUCACGUCAGCCUGAAUGGGUGUGGAACUGUCACUUGGAGCGGAUGUUGGGGUACAUAUCCCACCUCCUGGGUUCAGUCUGUGAGGAGAGGAAGAAUGGGUGGCGUCUCCUUGGGGAGGCUACAGGGGAGAGGUGGUGUCCUUGCUGGAAGAGCUGGGAUUGUUAAACCGGAAGAGGCGGAGGGGCAGACCCACUAUGACAUGGUUCUGAGUGAGAGAGGCUUCAUCAUGGGAUGAAGUCCUAGAGGGCUCAGGGAAAGGUUAUGGAGAGAAGGGCUCAGGAGUUUGGUCAAGGGCAAGGAAGCUCAGAGCUCUCUGGGGGUGCGAAUGUAGCAGAGAGAUGACAGAGGGGCUCCCAUUUAGGCCACUGGCCAAAGAUAAGAAACACCCUAGUGCUUGGAGGGGCUGGCUGGCUACAAAUGCUGGUAAGAAUGGAAGUUCCCUAGUAGAUGAGAGAGGGGCUUAGAUCUGGAAGGAGACAUCCUCCCUUGACCGGCGGGGGGAAGGAAGACUGUCCCACAGAGAGAGGGGCAUGCUUGGAGGUAGAGAGAAGAGAGAGUUGCACACCACUAGGGACCAAUGAUGGAGCAGUUCAGUGGGGCUGGGAUGCAAUGUCUGCGGAAGAGUGACUGGGCGUCAGGUGGGGUCAGCCUUGAGGGGCCUUGAUGCACCUGCUCAAGCACUCUGUUUAUAAGCGGGGGUGUGCCAGUGAGCAGACAGGAGAGUGGGCUGAAGGCAGGUGAGGGAGGGAGGCAAUGAUGGCGAGAGAGAGAUUAUGAGACUUCAUGUUCUGACCCUUGCUGGAUCACCCCUUAAUCCCCCAGUGGAAACGUAAAUAUUAACAUAGACACCAUAGACCUUCCAUAUGACAAGGGUGCAGCCCGAUUCUUUGAUCUCAGAAGAGCCUCCACCCAAAGCCACUUAAGCCCACCUUCCCUUUUUGCAUAUCUUGCUUUUUAAGGACCUGAUGUGAACAAGUAGAUGUAUUUGCUAUUUUUUAUCCUUCCUUUCUAUAAAUGGUGAUUAUUAACUAUAAUCUCUUGUAAUUGAAUCUGAGGCCCCAAACUCCCUUAGAAAACAAAUGCAUGCACGUCAUUGAUGUUGCAAUGUCUUCACCCCCUGACAGUCCUCAAAUGAGACAGCGUUAGUCAUGAUUAAUACAUUUAGUCAUGCCUUCAUGUCUUCAACUGAAAAUCCCAGAGAUAAGUGAUUCAGGAACACAAGGGCAGACUAGAGAGAUAAAAGAUAACUGAAUCAAAACCAAAGCGGACCCAGAGUAGGAUUUGGGGCUCUGAAGUGCUCCAGGGGUUGUUGAAUUCAUGUGGUUAUUAUUAUUAUUAUUAUUCUCAGAGUUGUCCGCCGUUGGGAUGUUUAUUUAUUUAUUUAUUUAGUUAGAUAGUUAGUUAGUUAUUGUGGUGUCUGGUCAUAGCCCUCAGCUGUGGGAUAGGAAGUUCCAGGAACUAAGAGAGAGAGUUUGCUGACAUUUGAUGGAUAGCCUAUUAAUUUUUUUUUUUCUUUAUCUUUAGGGCUGUACCCACAGCAUAUGGAGGUUCCCAGACAAGGGGUCAAAUCUGAGCUACAGCGGCCAGCAUACACCACAGCCACAGCAACUCAGGAUCUGAGCCAUGUCUGCAAACUACAUCACAGCUCACAGCAUCACUGGGUCUCUGACCCACUGCUCAGUGGGGCCAGGGAUUGAACCUGCAUCCUCAUGGAUACCAGUCUGAUUCGUUUCUGCUGCGUCAUAACAGGAACUCCUAGACAAUCAUUUUUUUGAAACCAAUUUAUUCCAAUAUGAAGUUCACAUGAAUUAAAUUGUCCUACUCUUUAAUAUAAUUCUUCCUCUUUUAUGUCCUCUCUUGUCCCUUCUUCACUUUUUUCUCCAAACUUAACUUCACCCCCACCCCUAGAAGAAUCCUUUUCAACUCUCCAUCCCCUGAAAAUGGUGCCCACUUUCAGUGUCCAUCUUUCUCUCCCUUAUCUCUCCCCUCCUCCAAGCUUGUCAACUACAGCUUGUUUAUCUUUCAGAGAUAGGGGUAAGGGGCUUUGGGGUUUUUUAAAUUAAAAAUGUUUAAUAUGUUUAAUUUGUUUAUUCUUAGGCAAAAAAAAAUUGAUGAUUUCCCUCUCUAACUUUUUUCCCCCUUUUCAGUUAAUGCUAAUUUCCCAGUUGUUUGCUUCUUGGCUGUGUGACUGGACAUAAUUUUCUUAACCUGUUCAAGCCUGUUUCCUUUUUUGUGAAGUAGGGAUAAGAAUAGCACUUUCCGGACAGAGUUAUUUUUAAGAGGUUCGUGAGACAAUUAAAGUGCUUAGUUCAGCUUACGGAAAAUCUGUAAAUAAUAGUAACCACUAAGAUUUUCAGUUUUUUAAUUUAUUACUUGCAUUUUCAAUUACAUACAAAUAUCUGCUGUCUACCAAUACAGAAUAUUUUUAUUGUUCUUUUUUUUUUUGGUCUUUUUUUUAGGGCUGCACCCAUAGCAUAUGGAGGUUCCCAGACUAGGGGUGGAAUCUGAGCUGUAGCCACAGGCCUACUCCACAACCACAGCAAUGCCACAUGCGAGCCAUGUCUGUGACCUACACCAUAGCUGAUGGCAACGCCAGAUCCUUAACCCACUGAGCAAGGACAGGGAUCGAACCUGGGUCCUCAAGGUUACUAGUCAGAUUUGUUUCCACUGAGCCAUGAUGGGAACUCCAUAGCGUUCAUUUUAAUUUCACUUUGUUUCAUUCCCAGAGUAUAUGUGACUAACUUUGGGCUAUGAAAAUUAUGUUGAAUAGGGAGAUCUCAUAGCUUUUUAUUUUUUUAGUUUGUAAUGGACUUUAUUUUUUGGAGUGUUUGGAGUUCACAGAAACAUUGAGGGAAAGUGCAGAGAGUUCCCAUUUGCCCCAGGCCCCCCACCACACACAAUCUCCCCCAGCUGGAGUGGUACCUUUGUUACAGUUGAUGAACCCAUGUUGGCCUUUUGUUUUUUUUAACUAUAAUACUUGCAAUUAUAAAUGGUUUCUUAAGGUGGUCAUGUCUUUGUUCUGUGAGCCAUUCUAAAGAAUCUCUUUGGAGUUCCCGUCGUGGCGCAGUGGUUAACGAAUCCGACUAGGACCCAUGAGGUUGCGGGUUUGAUCCCUGGCCUUGCUCAGUGGGUUAACGAUCCGGCGUUGCCGUGAGCUGUGGUGUAGAUUGCAGACACAGCUCGGAUCCUGCGUUGCUGUGGCUCUGGCGUAGGCCAGCAGCUAUAUCUCCGAUUCGACCCCUAGCCUGGGAACCUCCAUAUGCU